AGCUGGUCCAAAGGUAGUGAGUUAUCUCAAUUGGAUGUUCAGCCAGUUCUAGAUUGAACUCGUUGUUCUACUCUUUCUCCCAGAUUCUCACUACUGCUCUUGACUAGUUUUAA
ensembl:misc_RNA Y_RNA Y RNA